rnacentral:rRNA from 2 species
UCGCCCUUUUCCGGUUGAUCCUGCCGGACCCGACUGCUAUCGGAUUGAGAUUUAGCCAUGCGAGUUGAACGUCCCUUGAUUGCAGGGGGCGUAGCAUACGGCUCAGUAACACGUAGACAACCUGCCCUGGAGACGCGGAUAACCCCGGGAAACUGGGACCAAUCCGUGAUAGGUCGCCCCAUCUGGAAGGAGGGGCGGCCCAAAGGGGAAUUGUGGGCUUCCACUUUUCUCGCUCUAGGAUGGGACUGCGGCCGAUCAGGCUGUUGGCGGGGUAAUGGCCCACCAAACCUGUAACCGGUACGGGCCUUGAGAGAGGUGGCCCGGGGAUGGACACUGAGACAAGGGUCCAGGUCCUACGGGGCGCAGCAGGCGCGAAACCUUCGCAAUGUGCGAAAGCAUGACGAGGUUAAUCCGAGUGGCUUCCGCUGAGGAAGUCUUUUGCCGACUGUAAAAAGGUCGGAGAAUAAGGGGAGGGCAAGUCUGGUGUCAGCCGCCGCGGUAAUACCAGCUCCUCGAGUGGUCGGGGCGAUUAUUGGGCCUAAAGCAUCCGUAGCCGGUUCCGUAGGUCUCCUGCAAAAUCCAGUCGCUCAACGAUUGGCCCGCAGGAGAUACCGCGGGACUAGGAGGCGGGAGAGGUGGACGGUACUCCACGUGUAGGGGUAAAAUCCUUUGAUCCGUGGAAGACCACCAGUGGCGAAGGCGGUCCACCAGAACGCGCUCGACGGUGAGGGAUGAAAGCUGGGGGAGCGAACCGGAUUAGAUACCCGGGUAGUCCCAGCCGUAAACGAUGCUAGCUAGAUGAUCCGAUCGUAAAUCAUGAUCGGAGUGUCGCAGGGAAGCCGUUAAGCUAGCCGCCUGGGGAGUACGGUCGCAAGACUGAAACUUAAAGGAAUUGGCGGGGGAGCACCACAAGGGGUGAAGCCUGCGGUUCAAUUGGAGUCAACGCCAGGAAACUUACCAGGAGAGACAGCAGAUUGAGGGUCAGACUGAAGAUCUUACCUGACGAGCUGAGAGGAGGUGCAUGGCCGUCGCCAGCUCGUGCCGUGAGGCGUCCUGUUAAGUCAGGCAACGAGCGAGACCCAAAGGGCG